UUCCCCUAAAACUCAAACUUUUUUUAUGAUUGUAUGCCCUUGUACUUUAUUUAAGAAAUUCAUGAACUUAUGUACGUGAUAAUUACUAACCGGUUAAUGCGGUCAUUUACAUCAUCGGCAUUUGCAAUAAAAAUAAGAAUCAAUGCCCACCCACAGCGAUAUCCAGAGGUCGAAGGUAAACUCAGCCAGCAUCAUCUCUCCGCUGACGUCACACAAGUUGAAGAGAGUGUGUAUUAAUAGUGAAAAAGAGUCCUCGCAAUUAUUGGCUCUGAUGGCUUUGAAAAUAGCCAACGGCAAUGGAAAAUACAUGAGAAUAUCUAGCUCCUUAGACGCCAUUCGCAAUUGAAUCGGCCGAAGUAAUCAGCCUCCAUCAAACUCGCCGAUUCUCGUCUCGGUGGAUGACGUCAGUGGAUCAGGGAAUCCUCUGGUGGAUGAGCAAACACGUCGAUUCCUCAGAAAUGAGAAAUUCUCGGGGGAUAAAUCACAUUUGUUUCAGUUUAAAAAAUUGAAAAAUGGGGAAAGAUGAUGAACAUUGCAAACGAGUUUUAUUGACUUGUGAGAGAGGAAAAAAUUGCGGUGAUUGCGAUAAGUGGAUAAUAAAUGGACAUGUCAUACUUUUAUGGAAAUUAUCAUUGCGUAAUGCUGGGUGAUGUAGGGGGAAUUCAUUUCGGUGACGACCAAUUAAUCCCGAGCCUGAAGUGCAAAUGUCUUUUUGCCGGGCGUGACAAAUUAAUAAUGAAAUCAGUUCGAUUGAGUUCACGUGAGAAUUAUGAGCCCUCCAUAGUUUACGAAAAAUAUCGUACCUACGAAGUUGACGGGUAAUACACCACUAGGUAAAAAAGUCCCUCAGAAUGGAGAACAAUAUACUCGAUUCAAGCAUGAUAUCGUUCUGUGACGACGAACAAACUUCCAAUUAAUUAGUGUCAUCAUCCAGCGUUCGUGCCCUAAAUCCGGAAAGGGUGGAAACGACGUCAGAAUGCGGAAUUACGGGAGGAUAGUUUGAAGGGAAACGGAUGACGGAAGCGAAUGUAACCAACCGGGUGGAGAGGAAUGGAGGCAGUUGUCUCGCAUGUGCUGCAGUCGGCUCACGUAUUUUUUGACCCUCAAUGCGACGGAGUUCGACGGCCGCUGCAAGCGACAAGGUCGCGCGUGAUGCAAGAGUUCUCCCUCUCCUGGUUCCCUCUCGCACCACUCCCACCGCCCCCUGCAUCACGAGUUGGCCACGUAUGCGAUUGUACGCCAAGAUUUCGCGAACUUUGCUUCAUUAAUUAUCUUUGAAAGAAAAAAAACUCGCGGGCAACUGCAGUUUUGUAAUUAUUUCCCUCAUUGAAAACACAUUUUAACAUUAAAUAAUAAUAAUAAAAACUGGGAUUAUGCAAUUGGAUUGAAGGAUGAAGAACAAAGGAGCAAACAAAACAUGAACGAUAAAAUCGCAGAAGACAAUGUUGGCAUAUUACGGAAUCUAGACAGGCAAUUGCAAAGCCUGUGCAACAGUGAUUUUGCAUAUCAGUUGGAUUAUGUAAUUUACCACUGCUAGUAGAUAUCCCCGUCUAAUUCUUAGGAAAAUGAGAGGGAGAGGGCCGCAGACGAAUGAAAAAUAGUGUAAACUAGGGUGGGGGGGAGGUGGUAUUACACAGCUUGAGUUGAAUCACCAGUACCAGAUACUUUAUAAAGUUAUAAUACGAUUGUAGUUCCACUUUCGUCGAUGGGUGAGAGAUCGAUGCUCUUUUCCUCGAUUUGCAACGCGUUUCAAUUAGAUUAACUUUGUAACAGUUGCGAGACUUUAUAAUAUAUCCGAUUCAGCAUCAAUCGGUUGAUGCAAUUCCAAAAGCCACGCCUGUAACUGCAUUUUAAUGCAUUAUGAUCGAAUAAAAUGCGA